AAGUGUGCGUUAAUAAGCAUUUUGGCGCCUUUUUUUUGCGAAUUUUCCAAGUUCAGUGCUCACAGUUACUAUGAUCAAGACAAACUCUUUAAAACCGGCAAAAUUAUAUGUUAUAAAGAGAGAUGGACGAAAGGAAGAAAUCCACUUUGACAAGAUUACGUCUAGAAU